rnacentral:rRNA from 1 species
AGGGGCAGCGCGGGAUAGCAAUAUCCUGGCGGCGACCGGCGGAAGGGUGCGUAACGCGUGAGCGACAUGCCCGUUGCCCGGGGACGACCGGUGGAAACGCCGACUAAUCCCCGAUGGGAUACGAUGCUUCAUGGCAUUGUAUUGAAAGUUACGGCGGCGACGGAUUGGCUCGCGUCCGAUUAGCUUGUUGGCGGGGUAACGGCCCACCAAGGCUACGAUCGGUAGGGGUUCUGAGAGGAAGGCCCCCCACAAUGGGACUGAGACACGGCCCAUACUCCUACGGGAGGCAGCAGUGAGGAAUAUUGGUCAAUGGGCGGAAGCCUGAACCAGCCAUGCCGCGUGCGGGAAGGAGGCCCUAUGGGCUGUGAACCGCUUUUGCCUGGGGGCAAUAAGGGCGUCGCGCACGUCCGAUGAGAGUACCAGGCGAAUAAGCAUCGGCUAACUCCGUGCCAGCAGCCGCGGUAAUACGGGGGAUGCGAGCCCCUGCCGGAUUCAUUGGGUUUAAAGGGUGCGUAGGCUGUGCGUCAAGUCGGGGGUGAAAUUCGAGUGCUCAACACCGGGGCUGCCCUUGAUACUGUUCCGCUGGAGUGCGGAGGCCGCUGGAGGAAUGAGUGGUGUAGCGGUGAAAUGCUUAGAUAUGACUCAGAACACCGAUUGCGAAGGCAUCUGGCGAAUCCGUAACUGACGCUGAGGCACGAAAGCGUGGGGAUAGAACAGGAUUAGAUACCCUGGUAUUCCACGCCGUAAACGAUGAUGGCUAACCGCCGGCGACACACUGUCGGUGGCCAAGCGAAAGCGAUAAGCGGUCCACCUGGGGAGUACGUCGGCAACGAUGAAACUCAAAGGAAUUGACGGGGGCCCGCACAAGCGGAGGAACAUGUGGUUUAAUUCGAUGAUACGCGAGGAACCUUACCCGGGCUCGAACGGCACCUGGAUCGCCCAGAGAUGGGCGAGUCUUCGGACAGGUGUCGAGGUGCUGCAUGGUUGUCGUCAGCUCGUGCCGUGAGGUGUCGGCUCAAGUGCCAUAACGAGCGCAACCCUUGCCGCCAGUUGCCAUCAGGUGAUGCUGGGCACUCU